AUUGAACGCUGGCGGCAGGCCUAACACAUGCAAGUCGAGCGGAUGAAGGGAGCUUGCUCCUGGAUUCAGCGGCGGACGGGUGAGUAAUGCCUAGGAAUCUGCCUGGUAGUGGGGGAUAACGUCCGGAAACGGGCGCUAAUACCGCACACGUCCUGAGGGAGAAAGUGGGGGUUCUUGGGACCUCACGCUAUUAGAUGAGCCUAGGUCGGAUUAGCUAGUUGGUGGGGUAAAGGCCUACCAAGGCGACGAUCCGUAACUGGUCUGAGAGGAUGAUCAGUCACACUGGAACUGAGACACGGUCCAGACUCCUACGGGAGGCGGCAGUGGGGAAUAUUGGACAAUGGGCGAAAGCCUGAUCCAGCCAUGCCGCGUGUGUGAAGAAGGUCUUCGGAUUGUAAAGCACUUUAAGUUGGGAGGAAGGGCAGUAAGUUAAUACCUUGCUGUUUUGACGUUACCAACAGAAUAAGCACCGGCUAACUUCGUG
rnacentral:rRNA from 1 species